rnacentral:rRNA from 1 species
AUGAACCACUUCGGUGGGGAUUAGUGGCGAACGGGUGAGUAACACGUGGGCAAUCUGCCCUGCACUCUGGGACAAGCCCUGGAAACGGGGUCUAAUACCGGAUACUGAUCCUCGCAGGCAUCUGCGAGGUUCGAAAGCUCCGGCGGUGCAGGAUGAGCCCGCGGCCUAUCAGCUAGUUGGUGAGGUAACGGCUCACCAAGGCGACGACGGGUAGCCGGCCUGAGAGGGCGACCGGCCACACUGGGACUGAGACACGGCCCAGACUCCUACGGGAGGCAGCAGUGGGGAAUAUUGCACAAUGGGCGAAAGCCUGAUGCAGCGACGCCGCGUGAGGGAUGACGGCCUUCGGGUUGUAAACCUCUUUCAGCAGGGAAGAAGCGAAAGUGACGGUACCUGCAGAAGAAGCGCCGGCUAACUACGUGCCAGCAGCCGCGGUAAUACGUAGGGCGCAAGCGUUGUCCGGAAUUAUUGGGCGUAAAGAGCUCGUAGGCGGCUUGUCACGUCGGUUGUGAAAGCCCGGGGCUUAACCCCGGGUCUGCAGUCGAUACGGGCAGGCUAGAGUUCGGUAGGGGAGAUCGGAAUUCCUGGUGUAGCGGUGAAAUGCGCAGAUAUCAGGAGGAACACCGGUGGCGAAGGCGGAUCUCUGGGCCGAUACUGACGCUGAGGAGCGAAAGCGUGGGGAGCGAACAGGAUUAGAUACCCUGGUAGUCCACGCCGUAAACGGUGGGCACUAGGUGUGGGCAACAUUCCACGUUGUCCGUGCCGCAGCUAACGCAUUAAGUGCCCCGCCUGGGGAGUACGGCCGCAAGGCUAAAACU